rnacentral:lncRNA from 1 species
GCGAGAAGACAGUCUAUUGACGUCGGUUGUAAUGGGGGGCCAACGUCCACUUGGUUGCAAUUAAUGCUCUUCACUUGAUUCCCAGGCGCUUAGAAGUCAUGUAGUAAAAAACCGACGUCUAUGGCCUGUCAAGAAGGCGGGAAGACAAAAAUUUUGCAAUUUACACAUCGGAUUUCUGGGGUAGCGACCUCUAUGUGCCUGUAAUUAAUAAUGUUCACCAAAUUCGGAGGCCCUUCGACGUCUGACAGAUGGUCACCGACGCCUAAAUUAUUAUAGACGUCGGCGCUCCUUCUCACUUGUCGUCAACAUCCUUGACAGGAGAUGAAACGUCAAUCGGUUCAGCUUCCUAGACGUCGGCUCUCCUGGAGUCCGACGUCUAAUGGGCACUCAAAAAGUCAGUUUAAAUGUUAACUUGGACGUCGAAUUAGUUAGAUAACCGAAGUCUAGGUAACUAUAGAUGUCGGUUUCUAGAGCAACCGAUGCCCCAUUUCAUUUUAAAUUAACCGUAGACUCUUCGCGGCAUUGCAAUUUCUGAUAUCAUCGAUUGUCUUCUUCCUCUCCUUUUUCUCUUGCGGCACCUCUUCUUUUUCUCUUUACGGCAUUGCAUUAUUGUUUCUGAUAACAUCAUCGUCUUCCUCCUCUUCUUUUUCUCUCUUAUGGCAUUGCAUCCCAGAUGUGUGUUUUUUUAUGGUGACCGUUU